CUUUAACAAUCUGGAACAAGCUGAAAAUUUGAAACAAUCAGUAUGGUUAUUCAUGACGAUAUUGAUGAGUCUCUCAAAACACUCCGGCCUGAAGACACCUUCGG
rnacentral:sRNA from 1 species